rnacentral:lncRNA from 1 species
GUGUCUCUGACACGAGAGAGAACGCAAUGGUUUUGAAAGUCUUGUCUCCUUUUUAUCCUACAGAAAUAUUCUGGGUUGGUUCCCUGCCGUUGGCUCCUUGUGAAGUGGCAGUUCAGGCUUGGAGAACCUUUAUUCCUGUGGUGCUGGAGCCUUUGGGAAUUUUGAAAAUUAACUGGGUUUUAAUUCUAAACAGAAAGAUACACUUUGGACUGAAAUCAAAUCUGGAAAAACACAUCGGAAAAAGCCAAAACCUCAAGGCUCUGUGUGCAGUCAUAAAACUUUUUGCUGCACUUUCUAAUCAGGAUGCCUCCAUUCCCCAGCACACCUUGUUGAUUUAGUCUGGAAAGAGAAAAGUUCCCUUCACACAGCUCACACACAGCUCAGGUCCUCUGCAUGUUGUGAUUCAGCCAAAUGUCUGCUCUUAUCCCAGGCAAAAUGACCUGCAGGAAGAAGGAGAGGGCAGAAACAAUGAUCUGUGAGCAAAAGCAGAGUUUCAGCAGAAGGAAAAAUCUCAGCUCUGACAGUCACCAUCCCAUAGGUGAAGGGGCUCUAUCCCUGCUGUCCUCUGCCUCCUUCUCCAUAAGAGUAAGACAAAGGGGUGCAAAUUUUGCAGCAAAGAAAAUGCAAGGUGGAUAUUAGGUAUGUUUCUUGCCUGUUGGGGGCUGAGAGAGUGCAAAGUGCUGCAGGAAGGUUUUGAAGGUUUUGGAGGAGCAGUUAAGCAGAUUUUGGGACCAUAGGGUGUUGUUUGAGUCAUUACAGACUGAGGAAAGUUCCAUCCAAGGGAGCUGCAGAUGCAGGAGAUCCAUAGAGGGCUGCAGCUCCCGUGGGUGGACAUGUGGAUGGUCCUGAGCAGAGCAGAGACAGAGGAAGAAUCUGGAAUCCUAGAGGAAGGACGGCAAAAGGAGAGGACCCUUCCCUUACAGGUGUGACUGGAGCUGUGAUCAUGCCACAGCUGGCUGCUGGUUUCCCUUCAUCUGACACUGGGAAUGUCCUGCUCCUCGCACUGACAUGUGUCAAAUAAUUCACAGGCUGAAGGGAAUUCACAUCCCUGAGAGGGAACAUCCAGGGAUGCUUGUCCUGCCUCUGCAAUGAGGGGUCUUUGCCUAAUCUCAUGAGUUCCUUCCCAGCUCUUAGCACAGAAGCACUGCCCAUGAAGGCAGCAGAGUGCCACUGAAACUCUGGAAAAUGGCUGGAGUUUACAGGUAUUUUCAAACCAAAGAUCCAAACAGAGCCCUUAUUCCCACAUUAUUCCCACUACACAUUUUUCUAAUCUCAACAGUGGAACAGGUUCACAAACAGCCCUUCCUAAGGGUUUUGGUGGGGGUCAGAGGACUUGUCCCUCUUCUCUCAGUCUUACAGUUCUGCACCUUUCAUCAGAGACUGG